CCUACGGGCGGCAGCAGUCGAGAAUCAUUCACAAUGGGGGAAACCCUGAUGGUGCGACGCCGCGUGGGGGAAUGAAGGUCUUCGGAUUGUAAACCCCUGUCAUGUGGGCGCAAAUUAAAAAGAUAGUACCACAAGAGGAAGAGACGGCUAACUCUGUGCCAGCAGCCGCGGUAAUACAGAGGUCUCAAGCGUUGUUCGGAAUCACUGGGCGUAAGGCGUGCGUAGGCUGUUUCGUAAGUCGUGUGUGAAAGGCGCGGGCUCAACCCGCGGACGGCACAUGAUACUGCGAGACUAGAGUAAUGGAGGGGGAACCGGAAUUCUCGGUGUAGCAGUGAAAUGCGUAGAUAUCGAGAGGAACACUCGUGGCGAAGGCGGGUUCCUGGACAUUAACUGACGCUGAGGCACGAAGGCCAGGGGAGCGAAAGGGAUUAGAUACCCUUGUAGUC
rnacentral:rRNA from 1 species